rnacentral:rRNA from 1 species
AUUGAACGCUGGCGGCAUGCCUUACACAUGCAAGUCGAACGGCAGCACGGGUGCUUGCACCUGGAGGCGAGUGGCGAACGGGUGAGUAAUACAUCGGAACGUACCUUAUCGUGGGGGAUAACGCAGCGAAAGCUGUGCUAAUACCGCAUACGCCCUGCGGGGGAAAGCGGGGGAUCGCAAGACCUCGCGCGAUUAGAGCGGCCGAUGCCUGAUUAGCUUGUUGGUGGGGUAAAAGCCCACCAAGGCGACGAUCAGUAGCUGGUCUGAGAGGACGAUCAGCCACACUGGGACUGAGACACGGCCCAGACUCCUACGGGAGGCAGCAGUGGGGAAUUUUGGACAAUGGGGGCAACCCUGAUCCAGCAAUGCCGCGUGAGUGAAGAAGGCCUUCGGGUUGUAAAGCUCUUUUGUCAGGGAAGAAACACCGGCUCUAACACAGUCUGGGAAUGACGGUACCUGAAGAAUAAGCACCGGCUAACUACGUGCCAGCAGCCGCCGUAA